rnacentral:rRNA from 1 species
AGGUAGUCAAGAUGAGAAUUCUAAGGUGAGCGAGCGAACUCUCGUUAAGGAACUCGGCAAAAUGACCCCGUAACUUCGGGAGAAGGGGUGCUCUUUAGGGUUAACGCCCAGAAGAGCCGCAGUGAAUAGGCCCAAGCGACUGUUUAUCAAAAACACAGGUCUCUGCUAAACCGUAAGGUGAUGUAUAGGGGCUGACGCCUGCCCGGUGCUGGAAGGUUAAGAGGAGUGGUUAGCUUCUGCGAAGCUACGAAUCGAAGCCCCAGUAAACGGCGGCCGUAACUAUAACGGUCCUAAGGUAGCGAAAUUCCUUGUCGGGUAAGUUCCGACCCGCACGAAAGGCGUAACGAUUUGGGCACUGUCUCAACGAGAGACUCGGUGAAAUCAUAGUACCUGUGAAGAUGCAGGUUACCCGCGACAGGACGGAAAGACCCCGUGGAGCUUUACUGUAGCCUGAUAUUGAAAUUCGGCACAGCUUGUACAGGAUAGGUAGGAGCCUUUGAAACGUGAGCGCUAGCUUACGUGGAGGCGCUGGUGGGAUACUACCCUAGCUGUGUUGGCUUUCUAACCCGCACCACUUAUCGUGGUGGGAGACAGUGUCAGGCGGGCAGUUUGACUGGGGCGGUCGCCUCCUAAAAGGUAACGGAGGCGCUCAAAGGUUCCCUCAGAAUGGUUGGAAAUCAUUCAUAGAGUGUAAAGGCAUAAGGGAGCUUGACUGCGAGACCUACAAGUCGAGCAGGGUCGAAAGACGGACUUAGUGAUCCGGUGGUUCCGCAUGGAAGGGCCAUCGCUCAACGGAUAAAAGCUACCCCGGGGAUAACAGGCUUAUCUCCCCCAAGAGUUCACAUCGACGGGGAGGUUUGGCACCUCGAUGUCGGCUCAUCGCAUCCUGGGGCUGUAGUCGGUCCCAAGGGUUGGGCUGUUCGCCCAUUAAAGCGGUACGCGAGCUGGGUUCAGAACGUCGUGAGACAGUUCGGUCCCUAUCCGUCGUGGGCGUAGGAAAUUUGAGAGGAGCUGUCCUUAGUACGAGAGGACCGGGAUGGACAUACCUCUGGUGUACCAGUUGUCGUGCCAACGGCAUAGCUGGGUAGCUAUGUGUGGACGGGAUAAGUGCUGAAAGCAUCUAAGCAUGAAGCCCCCCUCAAGAUGAGAUUUCCCAACUUCGGUUAUAAGAUCCCUUAAAGAUGAUGAGGUUAAUAGGUUCGAGGUGGAAGCAUGGUGACAUGUGUAGCUGACGAAUACUAAUCGAUCGAAGACUUAAUCAA